GAUCUCACGUGGCAGUUUCACUCUGAUUGGGUCCUAAACCGCCGGCCCACGUGGCAUGCCACUUGUCACUGGUACUUCUCUUUCUCUCUUUCACAGCAGCAAGUUGUGUACGAUUGCUGUUCUUAUUAGGAUCCGUCACAUCACUUCUCAGCCGGUCAGCCCCCACCUUCCUCCAUUAACCCAUCAAUCCGUGUACUCUUAUUCUGAAGACUAGAUUUUGAAGAUUCUAUGGUGAUUUCAGUUUUGGAAAUCUUUUGGUGAAUGAAGGUUGUUAGAAUUUUAAAAAUUGCAUAAUUUUAGCCUUUAAUUUUUCGUUUCCUAGUGCUCUCUGAUACCGGAUUUGUAUAACUGGUUAGAGCUUUUGUGUCCUCUGAUCCUGUAUUUCUA